ACGACAUGGCUUAGAUGCAUUUGUAACCGUUUAUUAUCUCGACGUGUGUAAACUGGGUUUUGCCAAUAAGCUAGAGGGCAAAGCAGUUGCAGUAUUUUUAGAAUUACCGGCCCCUCAGUUGGCCGUGCAAUUAAACCUUUUGCUCACUACAAGCCCGGGAAGAACUGAAACGACAUGGCUUAGGUGCAUUUGUAACCGUUUAUUAUCUCGACGUGUGUAAACUGGGUUUUGCCAAUAAGCUAGAGGGCAAAGCAGUUGCAGUAUUUUUAGAAUUACCGGCCCCUCAGUUGGCCGUGCCAUUAGCAGCUAAAACUCAGAAAUUAAAGGGAGGACUUUUUUGAUUCAUUUUCACCUUGUAUUGAGCAAUCAUAACGUUGUUGUAUCGCUUUACAAGGACAUGGAUUCACCGAAAUUAGUUCAAUGGAAAUACUACAGCAAGAGCAUGGAUGUUAAGACUAGAACGUUGCCAGUGCUAGAUUUAGAAUUCCUGAAACAUAAGAAACUCAGAAAAUGGACGAAUCUAGUACUAAUGAAAUUAAUGAAAGAACAGAUCUUCCAAAUCUCCUAAAGAAACCAAAAUAGUCCUCACAUAAUGUGCGCAUCUUACACUUCCAAGCCGCUCGGGGUAUUUGACAUUUGCCACUCUUCCUCCAGCCUUUGUCAAAUAGCAAAAAUUUUUCAAAUAUUCAAUACGUUUUACAUAUGUAUAUAGUGUAGUACGAUAAUACAUUUAUAAAGUAAAUAUAAUAAUAAGCACCUAAAUAGCAUGAUAUUUUAAAUAAAUAUGAAAUAUAAUUAAUGAUUUUGUUAUUAAAUUCUAAUUUGGGAUUUUGGUAGAACUAACCGAAAAUAGCGGGUA